rnacentral:rRNA from 1 species
GUCGAGAAUCUUUCACAAUGGGGGCAACCCUGAUGGAGCGACGCCGCGUGGAGGAUAAGGUCUUCGGAUUGUAAACUCCUGUCAUGCGUGAACAAGGUUGCUUGGUUAAUACCUGGGCAAAUUGAUGGUAACGCAAGAGGAAGAGACGGCUAACUCUGUGCCAGCAGCCGCGGUAAUACAGAGGUCUCAAGCGUUGUUCGGAAUCACUGGGCGUAAAGGGUGCGUAGGUGGCGUGGUAAGUCAGAUGUGAAAGCCCGGGGCUCAACCACGGAACUGCAUACGAUACUGCCAUGCUAGAGUACUGAAGAGGUGACUAGAAUUCUCGGUGUAGCAGUGAAAUGCGUAGAUAUCGAGAGGAAUACCAAAGGCGUAGGCAGGUCACUGGACAGUUACUGACACUGAGGCACGAAGGCCAGGGGAGCGAACGGGAUUAGAAACCCCGGUAGUCC